CCCAGGGGUGGCAGCUCCCCGUGCUCCCUGCCAGGAUCAGGAGGUUCCGGAGCUGGUCCCGUGCCGAGGACACCCUGGAGCUGAGGAGCAAACAGGACCUGUCACAGAUGGACGGAGCAUCCUGACCUGGCGGCUCUUGGAUCCCAGACCUGCUGUGCCCGCUGGAAUUUCCCAAUCCUGGCUGGAUCCAGGGACUCCCCUGGGGAUCCCCCAGCCCCAUUCCAGCCCCUCGUCCCUUCCCGAUGGAUUCCGGUCACCGCCUCACGUGCCAGGCGCCGGUGACAGCUCCGGGCUGGGAAAUCCCGGGAAAAUAAUAAAAUCCAACCCCCGGGUGCCGGGAACGUCCUGUUUGUCA